CAUUAGGUGGCUGAAAGCAAGUAUUGGUCUCUUAAACCUUCCUAUAGUAAACUAGCGCUUACUUCUAAUGA
rnacentral:tRNA from 1 species